CCAACGGCCCUCGUUAGGGCCACAAACUGUUAAACCAAGUUUGCCU
rfam:Ascaris suum AG00016, whole genome shotgun sequence.